rnacentral:rRNA from 1 species
AUUGAACGCUGGCGGCAGGCCUAACACAUGCAAGUCGAACGAGUGGCGGACGGGUGAGUAAUGUCUGGGAAACUGCCUGAUGGAGGGGGAUAACUACUGGAAACGGUAGCUAAUAACGCAUACCAUCGGAUGUGCCCAGAUGGGAUUAGCUAGUAGGUGGGGUAACGGCUCCCGUAGGCGACGAUCCCUAGCUGGUCUGAGAGGAUGACCGGCCCCCCUGGAACUGAGCCACGGUCCAGAUUCCUACGUGAGGCAGCAGUGGGGAAUAUUGCACAAUGGGCGCAAUCCUGAUGCAGCCAUGCCGCGUGUAUGAAGAAGGCCUUCGGGUUGUAAAGUACUUUCAGCGGGGAGGCGUUACCCGCAGAAGAAGCACCGGCUAACUCCGUGCCAGCCGCCGCGGUAAUUC